rnacentral:tRNA from 1 species
AGCCUCGUAGCUCAGCUGGUACAGCGUGCACCGUACAAAAGCGUAGGUAGCGUCCAUGGGUGGGUUCGAAUCCCACUGAGGUUA